AGUGAACGCUGGCGGCAGGCCUAACACAUGCAAGUCGAGCGGCAGCGCGGGGGCAACCCUGGCGGCGAGCGGCGGACGGGUGAGGAAUUCGUCGGAAUCUGCCUUUUUGUGGGGGAUAACGUAGGGAAACUUACGCUAAUACCGCAUACGUCCUACGGGAGAAAGUGGGGGCCCCCAGGCCCUCCCGCUAAAAGAUGACCCGAGGCCCGAUUAGCUAGUUGUUGGGGUAAAGGCCCACCAAGGCGACGAUCGGUAACUGGUCUGAGAGGAUGAUCAGCCACACUGGGACUGAGACACGGCCCAGACUCCUACGGGAGGCAGCAGUGGGGAAUAUUGGACAAUGGGCGCAAGCCUGAUCCAGCCAUGCCGCGUGUGUGAAGAAGGCCUUCGGGUUGUAAAGCACUUUUGUCCGGAAAGAAAUCCCUGGAGCUAAUACCUUCGGGGGAUGACGGUACCGGAAGAAUAAGCACCGGCUAACUUCGUG
rnacentral:rRNA from 1 species